rnacentral:rRNA from 1 species
CCUACGGGUGGCAGCAGUCGAGAAUUAUUCACAAUGGGGGAAACCCUGAUGGUGCGACGCCGCGUGGGGGAAUGAAGGUCUUCGGAUUGUAAACCCCUGUCAUGUGGGAGCAAAUUAAAAAGAUAGUACCACAAGAGGAAGAGACGGAUAACUCUGUGCCAGCAGCCGCGGUAAUACAGAGGUCUCAAGCGUUGUUCGGAAUCACUGGGCGUAAGGCGUGCGUAGGCUGUUUCGUAGGUCGUGUGUGAAAGGCGCGGGCUCAACCCGCGGACGGCACAUGAUACUGCGAGACUAGAGUAAUGGAGGGGGAACCGGAAUUCUCGGUGUAGCAGUGAAAUGCGUAGAUAUCGAGAGGAACACUCGUGGCGAAGGCGGGUUCCUGGACUUUAACUGACGCUGAGGCACGAAGGCCAGGGGAGCGAAAGGGAUUAGAUACCCCUGUAGUC